rnacentral:rRNA from 1 species
GAGUUUGAUCGUGGCUCAGGACGAACGCUGGCGGCGCGCCUAACACAUGCAAGUCGAGGGGCAGCGGGGGCGAAGCUUGCUUUGCCUGCCGGCGACCGGCGCACGGGUGAGUAACACGUAUGGAACCUGCCCGCCACAGGGGGAUAACCGGUAGAAAUGCCGACUAAUACCCCGUAUGCCCACAGGGGCGCAUGCCCUGGUGGGGAAACAUUCAUGGGUGGCGGAUGGCCAUGCGGCGCAUUAGCUGGUUGGCGGGGUAAC